UACAACUAUUGGGACAUUGUAGCAUGUGUCAAACCCUCCUAGGGAUGUCACUGUGAGCUUUGGCCCAACUCUUCGCCGGAACUCGUCUCUCACCGCGACAUAGACCGGGGCAACCAGCCGAGUAAACACGGUACCUGGUAAAAGUGUGUUACCUGAAUCAAAGAUGGUACCGGCUCCAGUGGUCGGAUUAAAAGCCAAUGCGGCUGGUGGAAUAUCGACGACUUUUCGGCCAACCCUAAUUGCUUCCAAGUUAACAUAAUAGAGUGAUGAUCGUCUAGGGUUUUUGAGAAGAGGGGUAUACUUAAUCCUCUUGGGCUGAGCAACAGGUCCAAGUCUCAAAGAUCCAGAGAAGUUAAGAGACUUGAAACUUGGCAAGCAGUAAGAGAAUGUGGACUGAUAGAGGUUUUGGGUUUGAGACAAAAGUGACAACGGGCCUCGGCCCAAGCCCAAUAGACCUUGUGGUGGGGCAGAGGUGCCUGUGGUUUUUGAAACACAACCGAAUGUGUAGCUAGGAACGGGGUCAGUGGCUAAGGUAAUAGUGUCUUGUACCAAGUUAGCUGCAAUAGAGGAACUGCCAUAGGUUAGGUUGAAAUUGCAUGAGCUCACACCACAACCAGGGUUAGGUACCUGAAAAAUGAAACAAAAUAAAAUGUUUACAUUAAUACCAAUGUUUCAAAAAUGAGAUAGGAGAAUGAAUUAAUAAGACUGAUCAUGGUUCAAUCCAUUCAACUGUUAUUAGACCAGAAUAAACCAACCAAUGUAUUAAUCGAUUUUUGAAUUUUUCGUCAUCUACAAUUCAACCGACUCAACCUAGUUCAAUCUAAUUCAACUAGAAUUCAAUUCAAUCUAUUCAACUCAGUUCAAUCUAAUUUAACUAGUAGAAUUUAAAACAGUCGAGAAUAAACCAACUGAUAAAUCGGUCAAUUUUUAUUGACCGAUAAAUACGACUGUUUCAAUCCAAUUUUUAAACCAUGAUUACUUCAUUGGAAAAAGUGCAUUUAGAUUUUAGAAGACUCCAAGUCUCGUGAACCUUUGCCUGCCAUAGAGAGCACAUAGCUUUCAAUAUUUUGGAUUCAUAGAUUGGGCUAGGAUAUAAGUCAACCCCACCUACAAUGGGACAAAAGUUGCACGUUUCAAUGGAGUAGCACUUGGGUGCCAUAGUUUUUUGGUGCCAUUGGUGCCAUAGGUAA